rnacentral:rRNA from 1 species
UACGUAGGGCGCAAGCGUUAUCCGGAAUUAUUGGGCGUAAAGAGCUCGUAGGCGGUUUGUCGCGUCGGCUGUGAAAACCUGGGGCUCAACCCCAGGCCUGCAGUCGAUACGGGCAGACUAGAGUCCGGCAGGGGAGACUGGAAUUCCUGGUGUAGCGGUGAAAUGCGCAGAUAUCAGGAGGAACACCGGUGGCGAAGGCGGGUCUCUGGGCCGGAACUGACGCUGAGGAGCGAAAGCGUGGGGAGCGAACAGG